GCUGCAAGCAUCCGACAGACGCAUUUUGCUAUGUCUGCGGCCAAUUAAUCAAGACAAGAGCGAAAAAGUACUUUGUGGAAGCAUCUGCUAAGAUGUGCGAGGCCUACAAGGAAUAUUUCGGCAUGCCUGUCGGCACCUCAUUUCACCUGCGUGCAAUGCAAACAAACUCUGGAAGGAUGGUACAGAGGAGAAAAGAGAGCCAUGAAGUUCGCUAUCCCAAGAAUUUGGCGGGAGCCCACUGACCCACUCAAGCAACUGCUACUUUGGACCCUUCCAAACGUCGGACUGGCAAGAAUGCACCUGUCACGUAUCCGGACCUUCCUUCAUCUAUCGCCCCGGUGCCAUACUGCCAUGAGCUCCCCGUACCCACUCCUCCGGAGAGAGAGAGCUCUCUUUAGAAGAGAGCAGCAAGUCAGAGAGCGAGGAAGAUGUUGUAGAUCUGAAAGACAACUUCAGAGGUGGAGCUGAGGAGAGAAACCCAUACUACUCCAACCAAAAAGACCUCAACGACUUGAUCAGAUAUCUUGGUCUCACCAAGUACAAUGCCGAACUUUUGACGUUUAGGCUCAAGCAGUGGAACUUGUUGGAUGAAAGUGUGCAAGUCGCAGAUCAGAGGAAGCAUCACCAACCUUUUUGCAACUUCUUCACCCGUCAAGAUGGGCUCUGCUUCUACCACAAUGUGACCAGUUUGUUCGAGGCAAUCGGAAUCACCUGUAACCAGAAUGAGUGGCGCCUCUUCAUUGACAGCUCAUCCAGGAGCCUCAAAGCCGUGCUGCUCCAUAAUGGUAACAACUACCCGUCUCUUCACCUGGUUCACUCGGUGAACCUCAAAGAGGAUUACAAGAGCAUCAAGACCUUGCUGGAUGCCUUGAAGUAUGAUGAGAACGGCUGGGAGGUCAUGGGAGACUUCUAAUUGGUGGCAUUCCUAAUGGGUCUUCAAGGCGGUUUUACCAAAUUUCCCUGCUCUCUUUGCCUUUGGGACAGCAGGGACACCAAGGCGCACUACCACAGGCGGGACUGGCCACAGCAGACUGAGUUCUCUGUGGGGAGGAACAACGUCAAGUGCGAGCCACUGGUGGACCCCUGGAAGGUGCUGAUGCCACCACUGCACAUCAAAUUGGGCUUUAUGAAAAAAAUUGUCAGAGCUGUAGAUAAGGAGUCGGCAGCCUUCAAGUACCUUCAAGACUUCUUCCCUAAGCUGUCUAAGGCAAAGGUCAAAGCCAGUGUCUUCAUCGGACCACAGAUAAAGAAGAUCAUGUAGUGCAAUGAAUUCCCCAAGUAGCUUACUAGUAAAGAAAAAGCGGCUUGGGACAGCUUUGUCACAGUGGUUUGUGGCUUCCUGGGCAAUCACAAGGUCAAACACUAUGUGGAGCUGGUUGAGACUCUGGUGAUGAACUACGGCACAAUAGGCUGUAGGAUGUCUCUCAAAGUCCAUAUCCUUGAUGCUCAUCUUGAUAAAUUCAAGGAGAAUAUGGGAGCAUACUCGGAGGAGCAAGGCAAACGCUUCCACCGCUACCAAGGACAAUGACUCCGCGUGAUUGAUCGCCGCUCUCCGCCAGGGUUCCGGCUCGCGCCGUGCGGGUGACGUGAUGGAUGAGUGCCGCCUGCACCGCCGCUCCACUCGCACCCCACACCGCCCACCCCCCUGUGUCCCACGGCUCGUUAUCGCGAUGCGGGAACGUUCGCAGUG